AGCGAGCCGAGCAGGCGGUGCUGCCGCCCGCCGCCGCUCGCCCCGCCGCGGCCGCCCCUGCUCCUGCUUGCAGCGCCCCUCUGAUCCAUGGCUGUCUGUCUGUACUUGUUACGGUGUAACAUCCUCCUCCUCCUUCUCCUCCUCCUCCUCGGGAGCCGCUGCAACUUCCCCUCAGCCAGCCUCCUCCUCUGCCUGGGGACUGCAAAGGCAUGGGAUAGACCCAGAGCCGCUUCCCUCUGUCUCCCCUCCAGCCCUCGCUCAAUUUUCCCCCCUUUAAAUUAAAGUCUGUUCCUCGCUCCUCGUCGUUUUAGAGAUUUA
rnacentral:sRNA from 1 species